UACGUAGGGGGCAAGCGUUGUCCGGAAUCAUUGGGCGUAAAGCGCGUGUAGGCGGCUCGGUAAGUCCGCUCUGAAAGUCCAGGGCUCAACCCUGGGAUGCGGGUUGAUACUGCCGGGCUCGAGUCCGGAAGAGGCGAGUGGAAUUCCCGGUGUAGCGGUGAAAUGCGCAGAUAUCGGGAGGAACACCAAUGGCGAAGGCAGCUCGCUGGGACGUGACUGACGCUGAGACGCGAAAGCGUGGGGAGCAAACAGG
rnacentral:rRNA from 1 species